GGGGGUAUGGCUCUGUGGUAGAGCAUCUGCUUGUCAUACAGAAGGUCCUAGGUUCAAUCCCUAGCACCUCCA